rnacentral:sRNA from 1 species
UGGAAGAUUUAAAAAAGGUAACCAAGC